rnacentral:rRNA from 1 species
AACGCUGGCGGCGUGCUUAACACAUGCAAGUCGAACGGUGAAGCCAAGCUUGCUUGGUGGAUCAGUGGCGAACGGGUGAGUAACACGUGAGCAACCUGCCCUGAACUCUGGGAUAAGCGCUGGAAACGGUGUCUAAUACUGGAUAUGAGCUGCGGAGGCAUCUUCGUGGUUGGAAAGAUUUUUCGGUUUGGGAUGGGCUCGCGGCCUAUCAGCUUGUUGGUGAGGUAAUGGCUCACCAAGGCGUCGACGGGUAGCCGGCCUGAGAGGGUGACCGGCCACACUGGGACUGAGACACGGCCCAGACUCCUACGGGAGGCAGCAGUGGGGAAUAUUGCACAAUGGGCGGAAGCCUGAUGCAGCAACGCCGCGUGAGGGAUGACGGCCUUCGGGUUGUAAACCUCUUUUAGCAGGGAAGAAGCGUGAGUGACGGUACCUGCAGAAAAAGCGCCGGCUAACUACGUGCCAGCAGCCGCGGUAAUACGUAGGGCGCAAGCGUUAUCCGGAAUUAUUGGGCGUAAAGAGCUCGUAGGCGGUUUGUCGCGUCUGCUGUGAAAACCCGAGGCUCAACCUCGGGCCUGCAGUGGGUACGGGCAGACUAGAGUGCGGUAGGGGAGAUUGGAAUUCCUGGUGUAGCGGUGGAAUGCGCAGAUAUCAGGAGGAACACCGAUGGCGAAGGCAGAUCUCUGGGCCGUAACUGACGCUGAGGAGCGAAAGGGUGGGGAGCAAACAGGCUUAGAUACCCUGGUAGUCCACCCCGUAAACGUUGGGAACUAGUUGUGGGGUCCAUUCCACGGAUUCCGUGACGCAGCUAACGCAUUAAGUUCCCCGCCUGGGGAGUACGGCCGCAAGGCUAAAACUCAAAGGAAUUGACGGGGACCCGCACAAGCGGCGGAGCAUGCGGAUUAAUUCGAUGCAACGCGAAGAACCUUACCAAGGCUUGACAUACACGAGAACGCUGCAGAAAUGUAGAACUCUUUGGACACUCGUGAACAGGUGGUGCAUGGUUGUCGUCAGCUCGUGUCGUGAGAUGUUGGGUUAAGUCCCGCAACGAGCGCAACCCUCGUUCUAUGUUGCCAGCACGUAAUGGUGGGAACUCAUGGGAUACUGCCGGGGUCAACUCGGAGGAAGGUGGGGAUGACGUCAAAUCAUCAUGCCCCUUAUGUCUUGGGCUUCACGCAUGCUACAAUGGCCGGUACAAAGGGCUGCAAUACCGCGAGGUGGAGCGAAUCCCAAAAAGCCGGUCCCAGUUCGGAUUGAGGUCUGCAACUCGACCUCAUGAAGUCGGAGUCGCUAGUAAUCGCAGAUCAGCAACGCUGCGGUGAAUACGUUCCCGGGUCUUGUACACACCGCCCGUCAAGUCAUGAAAGUCGGUAACACCUGAAGCCGGUGGCCCAACCCUUGUGGAGGGAGCCGUCGAAGGUGG